UACGUAGGGUGCGAGCGUUGUCCGGAAUUAUUGGGCGUAAAGAGCUUGUAGGCGGUUUGUCGCGUCUGCUGUGAAAGUCCGGGGCUCAACCCCGGACUUGCAGUGGGUACGGGCAGACUGGAGUGUGGUAGGGGAGACUGGAAUUCCUGGUGUAGCGGUGGAAUGCGCAGAUAUCAGGAGGAACACCGAUGGCGAAGGCAGGUCUCUGGGCCACUACUGACGCUGAGAAGCGAAAGCAUGGGGAGCGAACAGG
rnacentral:rRNA from 1 species